rnacentral:rRNA from 1 species
UACGAGGGGGCGAGCGUUGUUCGGAAUUAUUGGGCGUAAAGGGCGCGUAGGCGGUCGGAUAAGUCUUGUGUGAAAUCUUCGGGCUCAACUCGAAGUCUGCACAGGAAACUAUCUGGCUUGAGUGUGGGAGAGGUGAGUGGAAUUCCUGGUGUAGCGGGUGAAAUGCGUAGAUAUCAGGAGGAACACCUGUGGCGAAAGCGGCUCACUGGACCACAACUGACGCUGAGGCGCGAAAGCUAGGGGAGCAAACAGG